CUUGUGCGUGUGACAACGGCUAU
rnacentral:miRNA from 2 species